CUCCCUUGUGCCUAGGAUGUUGCAAAACAUUGUUUUCAUUUACAUCUUUAAUGGACGAUGAGUGGGUAGGCAGAGUAGUUAUUACUGCCAUUAGGAAAUAGGCUUUCAAGCUGAAAAUUAAAAAGGGGGAGUUUUGGCAUUGUGCAUUUUCCCCAUUAUCCAUUUCAGACUAGUCUGGAUAAAGAGCAGACAUUGCUGUAUGGAACAAUUUCACAUUAUCGCUAGGGCUGAAUCAUGUGACCUGUCUAUAAUGGGUGCUUUUCUCCCUCUGUAGUCACUUCAGAAAUCCUAUUGUGAUGGAAAUGACCUAGCCAAUUCUGCUUCAGUUUCAUCCAAACUCCAAAAAUCAUCUCAUAACUGCUUUUAAUAUAGCUAUUUAAAGGGAAUUCCUUAAGCAUAGUGAAAACUUCAUCCCCAUCAGUACUUAUGAAUCUCUUUAUUUGUUAAGUGGGAAGGCAGCCUGAGAUAAAUUACCCUGGAUAAUUUUAAUCAAGAACUUAAUUUUAAUGAUCACCUGCUGCACAAAUAAAAUAAGAGAAGCAAUGACACCAUCAUUAUCAAGAGACAAUACAGUGCUGAUAGCUGUUUGAGGCUGAGCCUAGCCAGAGGGAAGAGGCCUUGUUAACACCCCAAACAUUCACUGGACAUCCAAGAAAAAGCCCUAAGAGUAAAGUAAUUGAUUAUGGAAUAUUAAUGUUUUAUCUAGCACUUUUCUAAAUUCAUUUAUUUUAGAUUUUUUACCUCCAGUAUCAU
ensembl:lncRNA